UGCCAGCAGCCGCGGUAAUACGGGAGAUGCAAGCGUUAUCCGGAUUUAUUAAGUUUAAAGGGUUCGAAGGCGGACUUUUAAGUCAGUGGUGAAAGCCUAUAGCUCAACUAUAGAACUGCCCCUGUUACUGAUAUUCUUGAGUAUAGAUGAAGUGGGCGGAAUAUGUCAUGUAGCGGUGAAAUGCAUAGAUAUGACAUGGAACACCGAUUGCGAAGGCAGCUCACUACACUAUUACUGACGCUCAUGAACGAAAGCAUGGGGAGCGAACAGGAUUAGAUA
rnacentral:rRNA from 1 species